UUUACAUUUGAGUGAGUUGGCGAACUUGGUGACGUAACACGUGGGAAACCUGCCCAGAAGCGGGGAUAACACCUUGGAAACAGGAUGCUAAUACCGCAUAACAACUUGGACCGCAUGGUCCGAGUUUGAAAGAUGGCUUUGGCUAUCACUUCUGGAUGGUCCCGCGGCGUAUUAGCUAGAUGGUGAGGUAACGGCUCACCAUGGCAAUGAUACGUAGCCGACCUGAGGAGGGUAAUCGGCCACAUUGGGACUGAGACACGGCCCAGACUCC
rnacentral:rRNA from 1 species